UACGAAGGGGGCUAGCGUUGUUCGGAAUAACUGGGCGUAAAGCGCAUGUAGGCGGAUUUUUAAGUCAGAGGUGAAAUCCCAGGGCUCAACCCCGGCAUUGCCUUUGAUACUGGAGAUCUGGAGUCUGGGAGAGGUGAGUGGAAUUCCGAGUGUAGAGGUGAAAUUCGUAGAUAUUCGGAGGAACACCAGUGGCGAAGGCGGCUCACUGGCCCGAGACUGACGCUGAGAUGCGAAAGCGUGGGGAGCAAACAGG
rnacentral:rRNA from 1 species